GUAGGUGGCGAGCGUUAUCCGGAUUUAUUGGGCGUAAAGCGCGUGCAGGCGGUUCUGUAAGUCGGACGUGAAAGCUCCUGGCUUAACUGGGAGAGGUCGUUCGAUACUGCAGGACUUGAGGUCGGGAGAGGGACGUGGAAUUCCCGGUGUAGUGGUGGAAUGCGUAGAGAUCGGGAGGAACACCAGUGGCGAAGGCGGCGUCCUGGCCCGCACCUGACGCUAAGACGCGAAAGCGUGGGUAGCGAACGGGAUUAGAUACCCCGGGUAGUCCACGCCGUAAACGGUGGAUACUAGGUGUUGGUGGCUAUCGUCAUCAGUGCCGUAGCUAACGCGUUAAGUAUCCCGCCUGGGAACUACGGCCGCAAGGCUA
rnacentral:rRNA from 1 species